GAGAUAUGAUGAACUUUUUAUAUAUUGGUUCCGUGUUUCUGAGUAACCAUUGACGAUUUUCAAGUUCUGAUCUC